GCUUCUCCUUUUUUCUUUUUUGUUUCGAUUUCUUUUUGUUUUCCAAAGGCUACUGUUUGAAUUUUCUGGUUUUGAUUUUGAUUGGAUGUGUUCUGUAUGAGGAGUUGUUAGGGAUGGUAGAACUGAUUUGCAGGUCAAAUGGUGUUGGUAAUUAUUUGUAAUUUUUAACAUAUUUUGAUGCAUUUCAUGUGUAUUUAUUUUCAGAUCUGGCAAUAUAUGAUGCCUCAAAGAUGGAACGCAUUCACCAGGUGUCGGCAACAGAAUGUUGGGUUUCUCAUGGACAAGACUCUAUACACACUGCUCCUUGUGGUUAUGGAUUGAUUGAUUGCUUCACUUCACAUGAUGAAAUGACUUAGAAUUGUUCAGAUAUUUUAACUAUCCAUGGUUGAAUAAGCCAUUGCUGCUGCAUCUCUACUCUACACACAUAUAACACUGUCACAGUAUGUUAAUAACUACAUGGUAAAGCAUACCUGCAAAAUAGAGUCUUACUCAUAUCACCAACUUAGUAGUAAGUAGAGUCAUAUAUGUCAUAUUUACAAAAGCAUUUUAUUAUAAGCAAAUUAAAUGAAAAGUUUUGGAAUUUAUUGUAUAAUCAUAUAUGUCACAACUUAGUUUGAAUAAUUUAUCUCUUAAAUUAGUUGCAUAGAUAUCUAAUUAAAUAGCAUAGACUAGGUGUAGAUGGAAGCAAAGUUGUUCGCAACGUGAUUGAUUUUAAUUUGCCGGGGAAAGGCACAUAGAGAGCAUGCUUUCAGUUGAAAUGGGUUUGAGGUAACUUUCUUCUUUGCUGAUUAUGUUUUGUACAAAGGAAUACCUCUCAUUAUAAGGAGCUGAACCUGCCAAGGAACUACUUGCCCAUUUAUUGAAAAAGGUAUCUAAAAUUUCAAGUUUUUGAUCCAUUAUGAUUGCUACUGGCACAAUUGAAAAGUGGUUUCUAUUUAUUCUUUCUGGUAUAGAAAUAUUGGAUCCCCUAUGUUGAUACUCAUAAUAUUUAACUAUAAAAAAAGGCUAAAGUUCCAAUGAAAAAAACUUAAAAUUACAAAGCACUGAUGUUGGUGGCAACCUACAAGCAAACAAAUAUUUUGGUUGGAACAUUUAUUAUCCAUGCAAUGAGAAAUGGAAGCCAUCGUUGCUCCACAGCCGUCAACAACACCCAUCCGCUCCAGUGCAGACAGAACUUCAAGGCAUGUGGAAGGAUGCAAAAUCAUGGAAGCUGCGGUGAACAGGUUCAUGUUGAUACCAUCAAACUAGGACUUGAGGCAGAUAACUAUGUGCAGUGUAGUUUGGUAGCCAUGUAUGAACGAAGUGUGUUACUAGGAGAUGCAAAACCGGUGUUUGAAAAAAUGAAAGAAAUAUUAAUAGUUGGAAUACCAUAAUGUUACAUAAAACAUGAUCUUUACAUUGAUAGUUUGUGUAUCAGGUGAAAUCUAUUGGAGUGCAACCACAUGAAUCACUACUUGAUAAACUAAGAAUUGCAUGUGACUGUUCUAGCUUUUUAAGAACAAACAAACCAAAUAGGUUGGUUGUACAUAGAUAUGGUAAGGAUGUUGUUUGGAAACUUUUAGAAUAAACUAAAAUUUACACA